rnacentral:miRNA from 10 species
AGACUCCAACCCCGGUUACACA